rnacentral:tRNA from 1 species
CGGAAGUGGCGAAAUUGGUAGACGCACCAGAUUUAGGUUCUGGCGCCGCGAGGCGUAAGAGUUCAAGUCUCUUCUUCCG